UCAAAUAGAAAAGCUGACAUAGAUGUUAAGUGGUGAGAAUAUCCAUAAAGGAGCCGAAUGAAAUCAAAAUUUCAUGUUCAGUUUUGAAUUAGAGACGUUAAAAAUAAUCAACCAACGUCUGCCGAAGCUGUGGGAUGUCAAAAUGCAUCGGUAGGGGAGCGUUCCGCC
rnacentral:rRNA from 1 species